GUUCGAUAAAUUAUUUCAAUAUAUUAUUGUUCAAAACGUAAUAAUAAUUGCAAAUAAUUGUAAUGGCCGAGAUUAUAUGAGAAGUGGAUCGAUAAUAGCUAAUAAGUAAUUAAAAUAACUUUAUUCGAAAUUUUUAACUACUUACUUCUUCAACAGAUUAAUGCCCAACUCUGUUCGUUGGCCAUUACAGUUGAUCCGUAUAAUCUCGGUUGUUUGCCAUUACAAUUAUUUGCGAUUAUUAUUACGUUUUGAAUAAUAAAUUAUUAAAUUAACUUAUCGAACUUUAACUUUAUUCGUAACUUCGACUAUUAAAUACAAUAUAUUGUAUAUCGCAUAUGUUAAUCAAACAAGUAGUGUAAGUAGAUAAUAGUCAGACAAGAGGUAGUGUAGACUCAUAAUAAUCAGACAAAGAGUAAAUACAGACAUGUUCUGCUCGAACAAGGAUUGAUAACAAUAAUGUUUAAUUAAUUAAUCGAUUAAAAUUAUCUUAUAUACCAUUUUAUUAAACACACAUUAAUUAUACUGUCUGAAAAAUAUCAUUCCUUUCCCUUAAUUUUUUCGAAUUUGCAUCAUUGUCAUUGGAUAAUUUUAAAUUCCCUUUGGAAGAUACAAAUUUCACACGAUAUCAACACGAUAUAUCCCUUCAAGAAAUUAAACUCGGAGAGAAUUAAUUCUCUUUAGAGAAGUAAAAUUAGAAGUGAAAUCGAUCGGAUCGGACAGCUUAGUAGUAGAUGCUUAAAAGUGAACAGAAUUGUGUGUGGAGGGGGGGAGGGGAGAGGGGCAUCGAUCGAGAUACGGGCUUCCAAAGGAACAAAUUCAAACCUCCCAAUUAUCGGAACGGAUUGGCCAGAGUUCCAAGUGCACGCAACUUGAGCCUUGAUCGGGGUGGAUAUCGAGGCUGGAAACGGAAUCAAACAAGAGGCAGAAAUUGGCGCAAAUAGAGUUUCAAAGAUGGCGUGGUGGAAUAUAGGGAUAUUGAUAUCGAUACGAUGGAUAGAACGAGAUAUAUAUCGAGUCCUCUAUAUCGAUUUAUCGAUAUAAUCAUAUUUUUCUCGUUGCCACAACGUGAACUAUCUUUUCAUCUAUGUCAAAAGGUUGAUCUUGGAGAAGAUAUGCCGGUUAUAGUAUUAUAUAUAUCGAUCUAUCGAUAUACUUGUGUACAGUAUGGAGGGAGGAAUUACAUAUGUUUGUGGCUUAGCUACUUACAUUUUAGACGCUUUGCUCCGAUUCCUCAUGUAAAUUGCGUCGUUUCCGGUUGACGGAUCACAGUCAGACGCGAAACGCUGCCUCUCCUAUGUAUAAGACACGCUGCAAUCGAUUUUUAACCUUUCGUUCUCACGCUCACCAUUUUCUUACUUCGGCCAGUCGAAGGCCCGCCUUCAGUUUUCAUCAAUUUCCAUUUUAAACAUUUCAA